AUGGGGAACGGUCCUCUUCCCCUAAAAUCACACCAGCAUGGGAAAACCCACCUGCCCCGUCUUUGUGUGAAGCAGUUCUCCUCGGAGGCCUUAAAACCCCGGGCUCCUCCGAGACCUGGGAGCACAGACGGGGCUACAGCCCCCAGGAGGGAGCCUCGAAAACAUCCUCUGCAUCGCAUUGAUCUUGUUCUCUCUCCACCUGCUUACUCGGCACUAAAAGCCCCCCGCCGAGGCCUGCCUCCCGCCGAUUCCAAAUGCAUCGACAUAAUGGACUCGUCUCCCCAGGACAAACCUCCAAGGACUCAGGAAUAACUUUCCAGCCCCGGUGGAUCUUUACUUUGAGUUGCUGCCAGAAGCCGAAAACAGUAAAUGAAGCCUUGAAUCAGAAACACACUCUUAUCUAAAAGCAUGUGUUCCUAGGAGCAGAGAACAGCACCCUUCUGGAACUUUCCACGGUCUUCUUCAGUUGAGGAGUCUGCCCUGUAACCUCAGUCCCUCCUGCUUCCUUCCUUAGUCUUCCUUUCUGUUUUUCCUCUGAGAGACAGACAGACAGGCACAGAGGGAGCCGGAGAUAAACACAAAGAAAAGGAUGUGCAGACACAGAGGGAAACAGAGAAAGAUUUUCCUUCGGUUAGGACAUGUUUUUAUUUUAUUUGAUUUUUUUAGGAUUUUUUAUUUAUUCAUGAUAGAUACAGAGAGGAAUGCAGAGACAGAGAGGGAGAAGCAGGCUCCCUGCAGGGAGCCCAGUGCUGGACUCGAUCCCAGAUCCCCGAGAUCACGACCUGAGCCGAAGGCAGACGCUCAACCACUGAGCCACCCAGGUGCCCCAGGACAUGUUUUUAAAAUAGCUAGCAGAAAAAAAAAAAUAAAUAAAAUAAAAUAGCUAGCA
rnacentral:lncRNA from 12 species